CCCAAUGGAUGGAAUUCAUCAUAAUGUCUGUUAGUUGAUCAAGAAAUUUGACUUUGACCACAAAUUUAGAAAGGGUAAAUUAGUACUUUUGCAUUUACCAACCACUAUUGUCCAUUGCAUUUUUCACUUGAGCUCCAACAAUGGCAGCUGCAAACCUCAUCUCUCAAACCCCAAUAAUCCAUCCCACAAAAUCCCUGAAAACUAUAUUAAAUUAGUUUUAUGGGCACAUCCUGGAGGCUUUGCUUGGGACUGAUAGAAAUGGAGAAAAUUCGGUCCAAUCCCAAAUAACAAGCAUAUUCUGUGUCCAGAGGGUGCUCCAAUUAUUGGCAGUACAAAAACUCAUUAUGGAUUUAGUCAACCACAAAAUUGCAUCCAUUGUCUGCCAUCCAACUCUUCUGUAUUUAUAAGAAAAUACAAGAUGAAUUCUUAAAAUACCAGUGAGAUGGACGAGUUGAGAGAAUUGUCUGAUGAAGGAUUAAGUACAUUGAUUUUGGUAUAAAAAAUCAAAUUUUUGGCCAGGAUUGUAUUUUUAUCGAUGAAGAAUUCUGGGGUGCCAUCGUUGCGGUGUCUGUGAGGAAUUUUGGAAAAGAAAUAGAAAUAUGUCCAACCAGUGGUGGUGUUGACAGGUAGUGGUGCCGGUCGCUGAAGGGGAUUUCGGGGGUGUGGCGUGG
rnacentral:lncRNA from 1 species